CGUAGGGUGCGAGCGUUAAUCGGAAUUACUGGGCGUAAAGCGUGCGCAGGCGGUUUGUUAAGAUAGGCGUGAAAUCCCCGGGCUCAACCUGGGAACUGCGCUUAUGACUGGCAAGCUAGAGUACGGCAGAGGGGGGUGGAAUUCCACGUGUAGCAGUGAAAUGCGUAGAGAUGUGGAGGAACACCAAUGGCGUAGGCAGCCCCCUGGGUCGAUACUGACGCUCAUGCACGAAAGCGUGGGUAGCAAACAGGAUUAGAUACCCUGGUAGUCCACGCCCUAAACGAUGUCAACUAGGUGUUGGGAGGGUAGAACCUUUUAGUACCGGAGCUAACGCGUGAAGUUGACCGCCUGGGGAGUACGGCCGCAAGGUUA
rnacentral:rRNA from 1 species